rnacentral:lncRNA from 1 species
UGGGAAUACAAUAAUUAAUGUUGAAUUUGGGAGGGAAGUGGAAGAUGACCCUUUUCUUGUAGGCUCUUCACAGUUUCAUAAAUACAUUGUUGAAUUGGUGUGAAUUCCAUUCCCAAUGACAUCAGCUUCUCAACUGUGUAUUUGUAAGGUUUCUUUCUUGGAUUUACCUCAUCAGAACACCUAUAUAUCAAAAUUAAAUUCAUCACAUUAAAUAAAACAGUCACUAUAUAUGUUAUAAUUAAUCUACUUCAAUAAUUAAUUUAUUAUAUGACACUUACUUGGUGGGAAGGGGAUACUGAGGGAAGAAAUGGGCAAGAAUGUCAACCAAUUCACCACGAUGAAGCAUACUCUCAACACAAAUAUAUCUUCCUGAGGCUGAGGGAGUUUCAUAGACCAAAACAUGAGCUUUAGCAACAUCCUUAACAUCAACAUAACCUUGUACUGCAUUUACAUAUGUCUUUGCUGAUCCUGUCAAGUAUUUCAUCAUAUGAACAACACUUGCAUUCACUCCUUCCUGCAACAUUGGCCCCAAUACCAACAUUGGAUUCACCACCACAAGAUCAAUUCCUCUUUCUUUUGCUACUUCCCACGCUGCUUGUUCUGCCUUUGUCUUUGCAUAGCAAUACCAAUUCUGUAUACGUAAAAACUAAUUUAAUAUCCUCGGCUCCUUCAGUAUUCGUAUCAUAAACUUACUAGUUUCAUAUGUUAAGGGAAUUAUUAUCAAGUCAAUUACCUUUGUAUUCUUGCAAAACUCAAGGUCACUCCAACAAGACUCGUCCACCACCGUGUCCGGGCUUCGGUUAGGGUUCAUGUAGACAGUUCCAAUCGACGACGUGAACACCACUCGUCGAACAUUUGCUUCAGCAGCGGCGGUCAUGACGUUCUUUGUUCCGAUUAUCGCUUGUUCCACUUUUUCCUGUAAACAAUGAUCCAAGCUAUUAAUACCAUGAUUUUGUUCUUCGUUGGAAAAUUGUUUUAAAUGAAAAUUUUGUUGAAAAUAUUUAGAAACAUAACUAUUAGAAAAACAGAGGAUAGAUAUUGGUUGAAGUUCUUACAGGGUCGUCGGUGACCGGAGAGGCGGUGUGGAAAACGCCAUGACAACCGGUAAUGGCUGCUUGUAGGCUUUCAAAAUCAAGAAGAUCAGCACUAAACAAAGAAAGCCUGUCUUUAGCUCCUUGUAAGUUUGUCAAAUGAGCAUUCUUUUGGUCAUCUGGGUUUCUAACAGUUCCUCUAACAGUGUAUCCCUUCUCAAGAAGAAGCUUUACAAGCCAUGAAGCAAUGAAGCCUCCGGCGCCGGUGACGCACACAGUUUGGCCUGAAAUUGCAGAGGUAUCGAUCGGCAUAGCUAGUAGUGGAUAUAUGAUAAAAAAGGGUUAUAUUUUUUUGUUUAGGGUUACAUUUAAAUUUGGAAGAGAAAGAGAAGGAGAGAAUUAAGUUGAAGGAAGAGAAUGUAGGGUUAGAUGAAAGUUUGGGGUGAUUAUAUAAUGAAGAGGAACUUAAAAAAUGGUGAGGACAUGGCGUUAUUAAUGUUGAAUUAAUUUAAUUUAUGUAUAUAUAUAAUUGAGUUUAAUUGAGUAAUAAUAAUAUUAAUUUGGAUGGGGUCAAAGUGAGAGGUGAGGAAGAACCAUAUGGGUUAUCACCAAAGUGAAGCUUAAUUUUGUUUUUUUUUCUCUUAACCUCACCCUCCCCGAAUAUUCUCUCCUGCAGCAGCCCCCUCCACUGGGCACUGCCUACUCUUCAGUUUUUUUUUUUUUUUUUAUAUUCAUUGAUAAUAUUGUUUAUAAAUUUAUAUCUAUUUUUUUAAAAAAAAAAUAUUAUAUGGAAGAAUGAUGUAGAUGUAGAGUGUUGUUUUUGUUCUCAUCUGGAUUUUUUAUUAAAAUAUUCGAUUGUUUUUUGUAAAUGAUUUUGGAUUUAGUUAGUUGUUGUGUGAUGUUUUCGAUUCAACCAUGGUUGUUGUGAUCUAUUCAUUUGGAAUUUUUUCAAAAAGAGAAAAGAGAGAAAUUAGUUGGUGUGGGUUUUCAAACUUCACCCAAAUGUUUCUAAAUUGAAAUGUAAUUAUUUAUGAAACAAGAGUUUCUUGAAAAUUGAGAAACAUAAAAAGAAAAAAAAAAACAAGAAGUUACAAGAAGUAAAAAUGUUAUCCAACAGAUUCUCAAUAAAUCGAUAUUUUCCCUGUACUAAAAGAUGAAAUUUAGAUAAUGGAACUUUUAAAUUAAAGAAAGAAUUUUGAAAAUGUAUUUAUAUUUUUUCAGUGGUUAAUCAGAAUCAAAGGUUUGGAAAUAGUCUUAAAAGAAGAUUGAAAAGGGUACAUACUAUGAUUCAGGUCAUCUCUAUCAAAAAAAAAAUUUCCUAAUUCUAAAAAUAAGUUUGAAAAUUGAAAAUUCGUAUAAGAUAACAUUUCCAAAAUAUGAUAUAGCAAUUAUAUCUGAUUGUUUUAGAUUUUUGCAAAUUAAAUUUGUUAUUAUUCAUAAACUUUCCUUCAAUAACUUAUUUAUCUUUCUCUUUUAAUGCUCUCCUCAUUAUUUAUUUAUUCUUUCACUUUUUAAGGUCUUAAUUAUUUGUUUAUUCUUAUACAAGAAAAAAUAUUUAUUUUUUCUAUCUUAAUCUUAAUUUUAAAAUAUCAAUAGUAUAAUAAUUACAAUAUAUAAUAUAAUAUAAUGAUUGUUGAUCGGAGUAAUUUAACUUCAUUUGUGAUUUUUUUUUCUUUUUGCUUUUUUCAAUGUGUAUUUUGAGUUGAAUCUGAUUCCAAAUGAUUUUGUUUUAUUUUUUACAUUAAUUUUUUUUGUUUUACUUUGUCUCAGUUUUGUAUAUACUUAUAUUAUAUGUAUUAGUUGGUUAAUAUACUUACUACGUGAUUUUUGUUUUUUCAAAUUUUAUGCAGUUCAUUAUAGUGUAAUUAAAUAUAUGAAUGAUGUAACUCAGUGUAUCAUUAUCAAGUAUAUCAACAAUAAUAUAUUGUUAAAGUAUAUCAGUAAAGUGAAUCAUUAUCAAGUAUAUGAAUCAAGGUUACAAGUGUAUAUCGAUAGUAUAUCAACUGUAUAAGUAGGACUUCAAGCAUAUCAAAUACAUUUAAUCAAUCAAUUAUAUAAGUGAAAAAUACUAAAUGUAUCUGCAGUUUAUCAGGUGUAUCAAAAUAUAUAUUAGUAGUGUUUCAGGUGUCUAUCAAAAUGUAUCAAGUGUAUUAAAGAGUAUUAGUGGUGCAUCAAGUGUAUCAAUCAAAUGCAUAGGGUGUAUCAAGAAGUAUUAGAUGUAUCAAUUAUAUAUUAAGUGUAUCAAACGUAUAUUAGUAACGAAAACAUUUGUGAUAUUUUACCUCUUGAUGUGUGGGUUGAACUUCGUUUUUGUCAAUUUUGUAAAUAAUAAAGUGUGUGCUAUGAACUUAAUUAUUAUAACUUAUUUUGCCUUUGUGCAAAUGUGCCUUACAAAAAAAAAAGUACAAGAUAGAAAAUUCAAAGAGUAACCCAAAAAUUUAAUUUUAAUAUGGAAAUUAUAAAAAAUAGAAAGAAUUACAAAAUAUUUAGCUUGAGAGAAAAAUGGAGUGUAAUAUGAAUAUGUUCCUUAGUGAUUAUUUUGUGUAGAUCUUAAAUAUUUUUGUUUUUUUUUUUUUGAAAACCCCUUUUUCACUCUUUUGUUAUCGUAAUGGAUUUUGUCAAUAUAUAUACUGUGAUGUAACUCUGAUCUUUUUAUUUAUUUUUAUUUUUAAGGGUAAUGAAACUUUUGUCUUGGUAUUAUAUAUUGAGUUGUUAAAUUGCACCCGAUAAGAAAAGUAUUUAGAAAAAAAUUAUCUAUUUUUGCAUAUCGUAAAUAUGACAAGUAAUCAAUGAUAUGAAACAGUUAUCUGACGGUUAUCAGAGAAUUAUCAAUUUUGAAUUUACUACUUUUGCAAUUUAAAAAAUAAAAAUGUAGUGACAUGUGACAUAUUAUCAUAAAUCAUUUUGCUAUUUUUGCAAGUGGACCAAAUAUUAUUUUGUUAAUUAUGAUAGCAACUUCCUUUAAUAAUAUAUGAUUUUCCAAUUUUAUUUGAUUCGGUAUUUCUAACGAAUUCGAUAUCCAUAUGAUAUAAAUCCCUUCGAUUUGAUUUUAAAUGAUUUUUUAAAAUGGAAAUUUGAUUUUUUUUUCUAAUUUGAAAUUAAAAACAUUUCAAUUCAAGUGUGGUUUGAUUUUUUCCUAAAUAAAUUGCAACUCUUUUUGUAAUUUCAUUCCAUUUUUUUCACUUUGGUAAAAUUACAUUUUUGGUUGAUUCAUACAAAUUAAAUUUAACUCAAAUAUAAAUUAUUUUAAAUGACUGUUCAUAUGAGAUUUCGAAGAAAUAUAAUUCGUGAAAUUGAAAUUUGUAUAUUGAUAAAUAUUGUGAAUACAAUUUCUAGUAUUUACUCAUUUGAUGCUUUCUCUCGAAUACAAGAUAAGAAUUUUAGAAUUUUUUAGUCUUCGGUCUUCAAGAUGUUGUAUUUGUAAGUUGAUAUGAACUUCGAUCUUCUGGAAUCCAAGGAAAGUUUAAUCUUCAAGUUUUCAGUCUUUCAGAAGAUGUUGAUCUCAAGGUUGAUACAGACUUGCACGUCUUGAGAGCUUGUAGAAGUUUGAAUCUUCAAUUCUUCGAAGCUUCAGUUCUUCAAAGCUUCAAUUCUUCCUUCAAUCCAAGAUUUCUUAAAUUGAGUGACAAAUGUCUCUAUUUGUAGAAAAUUUUUAUGGGUUUUAGGUGGGCUUGGACCCAUUUGUUUGAUGGGUUUGGGCUUAGACCAAUUUGUUUGACGGGUUUGGACUUGAGCUCAUUUGUUUGUUAGGUUUAGACUUAGGGUCAUUUGUCUGUUGGGCUUGAGCUUGGACUUUGGUCCAUUUUCUUGACGGACUCGAGUUCCCUUGUUUGGUCCUAUUUUUCAUCAGGAAGUUGCAUUGAGUUGGAUAUGAGAAAACUUAACUACUCAAAAUCCAAUCAAAUUAUAAUCAUCACAAUUUUGCUAUGAUGACAUGACAAAAUUUAAUUGAUUGAAAUUUUUUGCUCAACAAUGACAAAAUUAUUAAAAAUAUCUACAAAUAUAAGAAAAUUUUACUUAAUUUCUAUGACAACGAUAGAUUGACAUCAACCAAUGUUUAUCACUAAAGUGAUAUUUGUCUAUAUAGUCAACCUAUUUAGGUUUAUUGUGAUUUAUGGUGAAUUUAAUUCAUUUUGCUAUAUUUGAAAACAUUAAUUAAGUUUUACUUUUAAAAUAUGAUUUGAUCGAAAUGAUUUUUUUUUUUAAGUAACAUGUAAAUCGUUUGACGGUGUUUAAUUAAGAUUCUUUGAUAUCGAUCUACAAUUAUCGAAGUAAAUUUCAACAUGAUAAUAAAUUGACCAUGAUGUUACUCUACUAAUUCAUUUAAAGUGUGAUUGAAAUUUAGUGAGAGAUUGUUUGAGUUAAAAUUUGACAUUUAGGUGUUCUAAGACAAUUAGAACAGAGUUUGACAAUGAAUUUUAUAUAUAAAUUGAUUAUAAGAUAACAAUAGUUUUAUCUAGGUUGAGGUACUUAAAUUGAUCACAUGGAAGACCUCUACCUAUAAAUUAUUCAAUUCUUUAUAUGUUAUUUAAUUUCAUUAAUACUUUUUUUCAAUAAACAUUUUGCAAUAAAAUUAACAUUUUCUAUUUACAAAUAAAGAUCAUUUUUAAUGAGAUAAAUUUAAUAACAAAAAAUAAAAAUAACAUCUUGUAGGAUCUGCUAAUACUUUUUCUACGUAAACAACUCCUAAACCUAACUUUUUGGUAAAGUAGACUGCAAAUUCUCUUUCUUUUAAAAUAGAUGACUAAUCACAUCCAUAAGGAUUGGUGACAACAAUGAACCUUUCACCUCGGAAGAGACUUUUAGGGAAGAAUGCCGGCCCUUCCACUUCAUGAUCAUGUUGAUAUAUAAUAUAAAAUUGAUCAUCAUAUAUAUUUAGUUUGAGUUUGAGAGUGAAACUGAGAGCUUUUUUGGUUGUUUUUGAGAAUCAAAAUAUCACUUGAAUAUUUUUUAGUUGUUUUUAGAGUCAGAGUGUCACGUUAUAGACCUCAAAUUGAACCGAGUAUAAAUAUAUAUGUAUAGGCUGUCUCUUCUUCUUCUUAUUUUUGGUUUGAUAUAAUAUGUAUAUAUCUUUUUAUAUUACUUUUCAAUCCAUGCAUUAUUAUUAUAGGAUUCCACGCACAAAGAAAGUACUUUGUAUUAUCUACUGUGAGAAAUUCCUUAAUAUUUUCACCUUUUUUUGUCAUGAUUUCGAUACCCUCUUUGUAUUUAUAAAUUUGAAAUCAAGAAGAAUCAAUAAUGCUUUGAGUACAACAAUUUUCUUAAGUUACAACCAAACUUUGAAAUAUAAUUAUUUUUUCAUUACCCAAAUAAUUUUCUGAACACAAAAAAAUACAUCAUUUGAACUAAAAACCAAAUGUGAAGAGCCAUGGGAAUAAAAUUAAUGUUGAAGUUGGGAGGGAAGUGGAAGAUGACCCUUUUCUUGUAGGCUCUUCACAGUUUCAUAAAUACAUUGUUUAAUUGGUGUGAAUUCCAUUCCCAAUGACCUCAGCUUCUCAACUGUGUAUUUGUAAGGUUUCUUUCUUGGAUUUAUCUCAUCAGAACACCUAUAUAUAUAUCAAAAUUAAAUUCAUCACAUUAAAUAAAACAGUCACUAUAUAUAUUAUAAUUAAUCUACUUCAAUAAUAAAUUUAUUAUAUGACACUUACUUGGUGGGAAGGGGAUACUGAGGGAAGAAAUGGGCAAGAAUAUCAACCAAUUCACCACGAUGAAGCAUACUCUCAACACAAAUAUAUCUUCCUGAGGCUGAGGGAGUUUCAUAGACCAAAACAUGAGCUUUAGCAACAUCCUUAACAUCAACAUAACCUUGUACUGCAUUUACAUAUGUCUUUGCUGAUCCUGUCAAGUAUUUCAUCAUAUGAACAACACUUGCAUUCACUCCUUCCUGCAACAUUGGCCCCAAUACCAACAUUGGAUUCACCACUACAAGAUCAAUUCCUCUUUCUUUUGCUACUUCCCAGGCUGCUUGUUCUGCCUUUGUCUUUGCAUAACAAUACCAAUUCUGUAUACAUAAAUUGUAAUUUAAUUUCCACACUUCGAUAUUCCUUUUUAUGCAUGUUUCCUAAAGUAUGCCAUACAUCAAUAGGGUAUACUAGAAUAUUUCAAAAUGUUAUGUUGUUACCUUUGUGUUCUUGCAAAACUCAAGGUCACUCCAACAAGACUCAUCCACCACCGUAUCUGGGCUUCGGUUAGGGUUCAUGUAGACGGUGCCGAUUGACGACGUGAACACCACUCGUCGAACGUUUGCUUCAGCAGCGGCGGUCAUGACGUUCUUUGUUCCGAUUAUGGCUUGUUCCACCUUGUCCUGUAAAACAUUGGUCCAAGCUAUUAAUAACAUUAUUUUGGGCAUCAAAUAAAAAGUUAGAAAAGUAAAUCCUAUCAUAUAAUUAUUAGAGUCAGUCAUGUUUGAUAAUCACACACACAUACACAUAUAUAUAUUUUGUUUUUUUUCUCUAAAAUUAAGUUUAUUAAACAUCGCUCCAACAAGUGACGCUUUUAGAAAUUUGGUUGAAAGACAUUAUAAACUCUGUAAAAAUAAUAUGAAAGAAAAAUCUAAGGAGUAGGCUUGAACAUUGUUUGGAGGAGUUGGGCUUGAACAGCAGAUUAAUUAUCCAUAUAUAGGUUAACUAAGUGUGCUACUAUGUCAGUUUUAUAUAUAAAGAGCAUAAAGAAGGUCUGGAACUUAAGGCCCUUCGCCUAUUGUAAAUUUGCUGGUGACUCCAACUUUUAUUAUAAAAUAUUGAUCCACACCUAUUAAUGUCCAUCUUAUGCAGCUCCCAGUUGCAAAUGUAACUUAUUUGUUUUUAGUUAAUUUUUAAAACUUGAUUUAAUUUUAACUUUAAUUCUAAGAAAAUAAUAUUAGAUGCUAUUUAAUUGAAGUUACCCUCCUCCUUCACAAGCUUAAGCUUUGGGUCAAUUUUUUUGGAGAAAGUUGUAUAUUUUGCAAAGUAUCUUUGAAGGAGAAAAAAAAAAAAACAGCAAAAAACAGAGCAUAGAUUGGUAAGAAGUUCUUACAGGAUCGUCGGUGACCGGAGAGGCAGUGUGGAAAACGCCAUGACAACCGGUAAUGGCUGCUUGAAGGCUUUCAAAAUCAAGAAGGUCAGCACUAAACAAAGAAAGCCUGUCUUUAGCUCCUUGUAGGUUUGUCAAAUGAGAAUUCUUUUGGUCAUCUGGGUUUCUAACAGUUCCUCUAACAGUGUAUCCCUUCUCAAGAAGAAGCUUUACAAGCCAUGAAGCAAUGAAGCCUCCGGCGCCGGUGACGCACACAAUUUGGCCGGAAACUGAAGAGGUAUCGUCAAUCGGCAUAGUGGUAGAAUAUAUAUUAUGGAAAGGGUGGGGGGAAGAAAUUAGAAGAGGAAAGUUUGAAGAAGAAUAAAGUGAAUUAUGGUGAUGGGUGGCCUUUGGGGCUUCUUUUAUAGGAAAGGCAACAUGCCAGCUGCCACUUAACCAAUUAACCUUAUAAAAAAGAUAGAAGCACAUUUUUCUUUAAUUAACUUUUUUUUUAAAAAAAAAAAAACUUAAUUAAUUUAGGGUCAUAUUGAAUAUAUUUGGGUCAAAAUGAGAGCACUUUGAUUACUAUAAUAAGCUUCAAGAAGGAAGAUUCGUAUGUAGCUUCGACGAAAGUGUGAACUCCUUCUCUCUCUCUCAUCUGUGUGAAUAGUGGAAGAGAUCAUAUGUUAAAAGCUAUCCCAAGUUGAUGGCGUUGGCUGUGGUAACUUUCUUUAAAAUACUAUAUCUUAGUGUCUCACAUUUUCCUUAUUUUGUCGGUAUACCAAAAUUUUCAAAUCUAAAAUUUUAUAUGAAGUCGGAUGGUAAUUAAAAUGACUAUCAAAAUGUUAAUUAAUUGACAAACAAAAUAUUAUAAUCAUACAAUAAUCAGAUAAAAUUUUGUAUUAUAGACAGUAAUAAAAAAAAAUAAUUAGAUAGCAAUUUCUUUUAUUAACAACUAAUAUCGUAUAAGUUCUAUAACAAUUAGACAUUAUAGUUAGUAUCAUUAGUGAUCAAAUAACAACCAAUAUCAAAUAGUUGCAAAACAACAAUCUUUAUCAAUUAGAUAAUUAUUGAUAUCAAAUAACAAUUAGAUAUUUAUCCGACAACAAUUAGUAUUAUUUGAGGAUGAAUUUUAGAUAUUAUUAGAACAACAAUUAUAUAAUCAAAACCAAUUAACCAUUAAUGAGUAUCAUAUAGUAAUUAGAUAAGAAUUGAUAUAUUUGGGGGUAUAUUAUAAUUGAUAUCAAGUAACAAUUAGCAAUUAGAUAACAAGACAAGACAAUAAUAAGAUAGAAAUUAGUAAAAAUUUGCAAUUAAAUGGUAAUAAGAUAAUAUUAUUAGAUGGGCAAUUAGAUAUAAUAAGACAUUUUAAAGCAUGAUGGACAUUUAAAUUGAAUUGGAGUUAAAAGGAUUUUAUUAUUUUUGCAAAAUCAUAAAACAAUGUGUAUGAACUUAAUUUUUUUAAAGUGUACGUGGAUGACCCGAUAUUGGGUAUAAAAUUAUAGACACACGGCUUUGGCAUCCAUGAUAUCAACUUGGCUUGUAAAUAUGACCAAAGUACGUUGAAGAAACAUAUAUAUGGCUAAAAAUCAAAUCAUCUAAUUAUAUGAUAUUUUUCCUAUUCCACAACUAUCCUCAUCUUUUCAAAUGUGAAAAACUACUAAAUAUAGAUAUCCAUAUAUAUAUAUAUAUAUAUGUAUUUUCCCUUCAACUAUGUGCUUUUUCAUCUUCCUCAUUCUUCAACUUUACUCUGUCACCACCUAGUUCGAUAUCACCUAAUAAUGUCUAAAAUUCUUCGAUAUUCUUCAUGAUUUGAAGCUAAAAGAUCUCUUUUGACGCUUAAUAUUUUUGGUUUUAUUGAUUUGUUUAGAUGAAGAUUUCUUGUUUAUUUUUUUGUUUGAAUUUCAUCCUCAACUUCUCUCAUUCGCGAUUUUGUGCUCGGGUUAAAACUUCUAUUUUUGAUAUUAGAAUUUUACUGGUUUUAAUUUCCUCAUCUAGAGAUUUCUUUCUUUUCAAUUGUAAGUAUGUUUGAUUUUUGCUUGAAAUUGUUCAUCGUCUUCUCUCAUUCAUUGUUGUGCUCUGGUUAACAUUUUUUUUAAAAAAAUCAUUCAUUUACUGAUCUCAAUUUCAUCAACUAGGAUUUCUGUUGUUUUCUCUCUUUGUAGAUGAUUGAUUUUUCUUGUUUUCAUAUUCAAUUUUGAGUUUAAUUUUGUUUUUUAUUUAUUCUUUUCAAACUAGGAAGUUUGUAGGAUUGUUUCAAGUUCAUCCUUUGUCUUCAAACAAACAAGAAGAGGUCUCUUGGAAUUGCAUUUGUAUUUUUCAUUUUGAUACUUCUGCUUUAUCUGAAAGUGAACCUACUAUUUUCUGAAGUAGAAAUAAUGUAGGGUCAUAAUUUUGUUUUGUUUUCUUAAAAAGGGAAUCUAGCUACUUUCAAUAAAAAAAAUUAUUUUCUAAUGAGAUUAAAGGCGAACAUACCAACAAAAUAAUUGGAUGAGGGAAAACUAAAAAGUUUCGAGAUAUCCAAACGACACAACACUUCUUCAUAGACGGAUAAAUAUGUCUAUAAUUUAUAUCCGCUUAUCUUAUAAAUAUGUUUGAGAUGAUCUUAAUGAACCCCGUCAACGUAACUUUAUAUAUAUCAACAACCGUUUGGCUAUUUGAUGCGAUGACAAUUUAUGUAGACCAUCAAACAUAUUCUUUUAUUGUUAGUCAAGGAAUGGAAUUAACCGUCCGCAAUCUCCAUCUCUUCGAUAGUUCACUCAAGGCAAUAAGACUGAUAAGGUUUAGCCAUAUGGUUAAGGUGAAUUGUUUUAAAUGUAGGUUUGGUGCUUAGAAAUAGAAACUAUAUUAUGGAUACUUAAAAAUCAUAAUUUUUAAAUGGAGUUGUUUGGAUGUCUAUUUUUUUUUUAAAUUUAGUUUCUAGUUUUCUAAAAAACAUUUUUCUUUUGUUUUAUAUACUUUUACCAUUUGAAUAGGGAUUUUAAAGUUGUUGAGAUAGUUGAAAACGAAAAGAAAAAAAAACAAAUUGUUUUAUAUAUUAUUAAAAUAAAUCUUUUUUUUCGUCGAAGAAUGAUUCCCGUAGAUAUCGAUCUUAACUUUAACUUAAAAUUUCAAGCCAAGAAAUUCAAAAACGAUAAAUUUAAAAUUCUGGGGAUAGGGAUCAACAAGUUAUUGAAAAUUUUUUCCUCGCCAAGUAGAAUUGUUUUAUCAAUGAUUCGGUGAAUGUAUCUAUGUUCAAUUCGUGUGUGUACAUGUAUGAAUCAAAUUCAUUUCGUUAGGAUGUGAAAAAAUUUGACUUAAAAGUAAUGGGUGUGUUCAUUAAUAGUUUCAUAACACCUCAUCAAUCAUAGUUUUCAACUAAUAAUGAAGAAGAAUAAUAAAAAUUUUGCAUUAUGUAAUAAAUUCUAUUAAAAUUACACUUUGGGAUGUCAAUUUUGCUAAUUCCCCCAAAAACAAUUCUUAACAAGAUCAAGACUUGAAACAAGAAUACAACUUUUGGCUAUGUAUAAUAAGCAUUGAAAUUAAAAUCACCGUUGAAGUUGGGAAGGAAGUGGAAGAUGACCCUUUUCUUGUAGGCUCUUCACAGUUUCAUAAAUACAUUGUUUAAUUGGUGUGAAUUCCAUUCCCAAUGACAUCAGCUUCUCAACUGUGUAUUUGUAAGGUUUCUUUCUUGGAUUUACCUCAUCAGAACACCUAUAUAUCAAAAUUAAAUUCAUCACAUUAAAUAAAACAGUCACUAUAUAUGUUAUAAUUAAUCUACUUCAAUAAUUAAUUUAUUACAUGACACUUACUUGGUGGGAAGGGGAUACUGAGGGAAGAAAUGGGCAAGAAUGUCAACCAAUUCACCACGAUGAAGCAUACUCUCAACACAAAUAUAUCUUCCUGAGGCUGAGGGAGUUUCAUAGACCAAAACAUGAGCUUUAGCAACAUCUUUAACAUCAACAUAACCUUGUACUGCAUUUACAUAUGUCUUUGCUGAUCCUGUCAAGUAUUUCAUCAUAUGAACAACACUU